AUCCCAAGGCACUUUUGGCUAGUUUGCCAUAUUUCAUCUGCCAGAUCCUGAGCAAAACACAUUCACUGCAUUUUCUAAAUGGAUAUGAGGCAGAAAGGGAAAAAGCACAGGGAAUAA